GGCGGACGGGUGAGUAACGCGUAAGAACUUGCCCUUUAGACUGGGAUAACAGAGGGAAACUUCUGAUAAUACUGGAUAAGUUAGUAUAUCGCAUGAUAUGCAAAUGAAAGCUACGGCACUAAAGGAGAGCUUUGCGUCCUAUUAGCUAGUUGGUAAGGUAAGAGCUUACCAAGGCGAUGAUAGGUAGCCGGCCUGAGAGGGUGGACGGCCACAAGGGGACUGAGAUACGGCCCUUACUCCUACGGGAGGCAGCAGA
rnacentral:rRNA from 1 species